GGCCUCGUGGCCUAAUGGCUAGGGCGCUAGAUUUCGGCUCUAGAGAUUGUCGGUUCGAGUCCGGCCGAGGUCG